rnacentral:lncRNA from 1 species
ACCCAGAUUCACUAUCUACAGAUUCUGCAUAUAUAAAUACAAGGCAAUUGCUAUCUAAUUAUUUUAUUAUUUUAAAUAAUUUACAUAAUAAAUGAAUCUGAGCACCAACUAAUAGGUAAAGAUAGGUCCUAUCCCUUUCAAAAAUGCAUCACUUUUUUUUGUUACCAUAGCUUUGUUCUUUGUUCCAUAUCCAGAGAAAAUCCGAUAGCAUCUCCCUAC